GCUGACAAAGGCAAGCUACAACCAAAUUUCACUUUAGCUAACAUGAUUACAAAUGAGUAGUACAUACUAUUCAAGC
rnacentral:lncRNA from 1 species